rnacentral:lncRNA from 9 species
CUGAGCUCCCGGCCGCACAUCAGGGCACCCAUGUUUCAGGCAACUGGACAGGGAGGGUCGGCGUGCGGCCUGAGGCCUCUGCCAGCCUUCAGCGCGGAGCCGCCGAGGAUCCUGACGAGGUUGCAGGGAGUGAGUGACUCCGCUGCCCUCUAGGUGAUUGUUACUGAAGGAUUUAAAAGGUGAGGUUAAAUCUACAAGGAAGGGGGACCAUUUAAACCAUUUUAAGUCCAGUCCAGUGGCGUUUGGUACUUUCAUGCUGUGCUGACAUCGCCAGCGUUCAUCUGCAGAAUUUUUUUCUCUCCCCACACUGAAACCCUGACCCCGGUAGACACUGAUUUCCCACGGCUCCUCCCCAGCCCCCGGCCCCUCAUGCUGUGAGUCUGGCUGCUCGGAGGCCCUUGGGUGGCGUCGUGCCGUGUGUGCUGUUUGGUGUCUGGCUUAUGCACGUGCGGUAAGGUCCCACGGCUCGUCCUUGCUGUCUCUGGUCAGGGUCCUCCCUUCGCGGGCUGAGUAACAUUCCGUUGUGCGGAUAGAACACCCAGCAUCCAUUCGUUCAUGUUGCUUAUCCGUUCGGCGAAUUGUCAUCCAUUUGUCUGAGCACUUGCGUUGCUUCCACCUUUUGGCUGUUGCGAGUUGGACUUGAAUCUGGGGACCGUGACUGGUUGGAGGCCCAGGGGGAAACUGGCUGCCAGGGCCCAGUGGACAAAGCCGAGGCCACGUCUGUUGCUCCCCUGCUCCGAGCACAGCGCCUGCACGGGGUGGGUCCUGGCUGAAUGGACGAGUGACUCUAUUUGCAGAAACAUCUAUAAAAGAUGGACGUGGUGUCACACCUUAGAAUUAAAGCAGAGAGGAUUCAGUGAAGACAAAGAUGAAAUAAAAUGAUGUACCUGAAACUACACAUAAGCCACAAGGCACAGUACACCUGCUAUUAUCUUCCUCGUUGUUUUCUCUGUAUCUCUAAUAGCCUGGGCAAAUUCAGAAUCCAACCUUCUCCAGGAUCUCUGCAGCUUCGUGACCGUGUAGUUCCCUCUUCACAGCUCCCAGAAUCCAGAUGUUCCUAUAGCCAACUUGAAUUCCGUGCCUGACCCGUAAGACUCUUAAUAAACACAUGCCAGAUGAAUGGGUGAAAGUUGAGUUACGUACGGACUCUGCUUGCUAGACUGGUGACCCCCAGAAGGCUCUUACAGGUAUGGAUUCCUUGUAAUUUGGAAGAUACUCUCUUUGCAUCACACAUGUAUUAUUUUAUUUUAUUCUUCUAACUUUUGUUUUUUUUUAAUUUAAAAUAAAUUGAUUCACCUAAAAAUCCUGCAAUACCUUAAAAUGCAAUUUUCUUAAAAUCAGCUUAUUUUUAUUUACUAUGUUAAAUGUUCAUUUCCAGUAAGAAUAGCGUCAUUAAAUAUGUUCUCGAGGUGUAUAUAAUUUUUUUCCUUAUACAGUUGGCAUCUGUGACAUUAAAAAGUUCACCAAAAUGAUUAUAAUAUGCGAAAGUGACUCAUAGCAUUUUGAAAUCAGAUGCUCUGCUCAGUCUUGUGUCGCCUCAUUCUUUGCUCCAUGAACGGCAAUAUCAUUGGUUUUUGUGUAGCUGAAGACUGACACUGUGAUUCACAGGGAUUUACAGUGAUGCCUUUUUUAUUGGUACCUGCAUCCUUAAGCCACUAGCAAAACGGAAAACACAAUCAUUACAGGUUGAAACUCAGGAAAACCUAUACUUAGGAGGCAUAAAGAUUUGCACCUGAAAAAAACCAGUGUCUAGAAUAGUAAGAUAAAAUGAAAGAGAAAGGCAAUGUUUUUUCAGCACUAUUUACAGCCACCAACACUUGGAAGCCAUGUCCAUCAACAGAGCGACAGGUGAAGAAGAUGUGGUAGACAUAUCCAAUGGAAUAUUACACAGCCUUAAAAAACAAUGAAAUAAUGCCCUUUGCAGCAACAUGGAUGCAGCUAGAGUCGCAUAUGAAGUGAAGUUAGACGGAGAAAGACAAAUACCAUACGAGAGCACUUAUGUGUAGAUUCUCAUAGAAACUCAUUUACAAAACAGAAACAGUCACAGAAUUUUUUUUUUUUUUUUUUUUUUUUUUUUGUCUUUUUUUGCCCUUUCUUGGGCCGCUUCUGCAGCAUAUGGAGGUUCCCAGGCUAGGGGUCGAAUUGGAGCUGUAGCCACCGGCCUACACCACAGCCACAACAACGCGGGAUCCGUGCCGCAUCUGCGACCUACACCACAGCUCUCAGCAACACCAGAUACUUAACCCACUGAGCAAGGGCAGGGAGUGAACCCGCAACCUCAUGGUUCCUAGUCGGAUUCGUUAACUACCGCGCCACAACGGGAACUCCAAGAGAGUCACAGAUUUUGAAGACAAACUUGUGGUUGCCCCGGGGGAUUGUGGUUGGGAGAUAGAUUAGGAGUUUGGGAUUAGCAUAUACACACCACUAUCUGUCUGUUCUGUGUGACCAACAAGGACCUUCCGUACAGCACAGGGAACUCUACUCGAUAUUCGGUAAUAACCUGCAUGGGAAAAGAAGCUGAGAAAGAAUGGAUGUGUGUUCACGGAUAACCGAAUCACUGUGUGCCCCUGAAGCGAACACGACAUGCCAGAGCAGCUGUAAGCGAACAACAACCAAAAAGGACAUGAGGACAGCUGUGAUUUCCGUGUGUUACCUGGUCAGGAUGCCUGGGAGGUAGGUGGGGGCUUGUCCAGACUGUGGGGGCACGUCGAGGAUUUCCUCUCACUCAUUCCAUUAAAUCCCUUUGGUCCACGUGUUGGCUCUCCAGCCCUGGCAGCGGGGGAAGUGGGCAGAGGCCAGGUGAGUGACAGCCCCAUCGGGAGGGGACAAGGAGUUGGGGGGAAGAAUCAGGCCCCUGGAGAUGAAGAGAAAGAAUGGGGGGCCAGCCGGUGGCAGUGCCGUGUCGCGGGGCAGGAG